CCUACGGGUGGCAGCAGUGAGGAAUAUUGGUCAAUGGCCGGAAUGCUGAACCAGCCAAGCCGCGUGAAGGAAGAAGGUUCUAUGGAUUGUAAACUUCUUUUGUAAAGGGAUAAAAUCAUCCACGAGUGGAUGUUUGCAUGUACCUUAAGAAUAAGCAUCGGCUAACUCCGUGCCAGCAGCCGCGGUAAUACGGAGGAUUCGCGCGUUAUCCGGAUUUAUUGGGUUUAAAGGGUGCGUAGGUUGUUUUUUAAGUCAGCGGUUAAAGUACGAGGCUCAACAACGGAGUUGCCGCUGAUACUGGAUGACUUGAGAUGGGAUGAGGUAGGCGGAAUGUGGAGUGUAGCGGUGAAAUGCAUAGAUAUUACGCAGAACACCGAUUGCGAAGGCAGCUUACUAGGCCAGAUCUGACACUGAAGCACGAAAGCGUGGGGAUCGAACAGGAUUAGAUACCCCUGUAGUC
rnacentral:rRNA from 1 species